AAAGAAGGUUUCUAGGGUUCCGAUGCUUAAGGCGUGACUGGUCCGAGAGAAACAAGCUACUAUAAAGGAUUUUUUAUUUAGUUGACUACAAAUUAGGUAGCUACACGGAGGGAGAAAAGCCCGGGAGGA
rnacentral:sRNA from 2 species